AAGCGUGAGCUGCGCGAGGCGGAGGGUCACCUGCGUCAAGGAGCUGGUUUUGAGUGGCCAGGUACGGAGUCUCACUCUGUUGCCCAGGCUGGAGUGCAGUGGUGCAAUCUCAGCUCACUGCAACCUCUGCCUCCCAGAGACGGGGUUUCACCAUGUUGGCCAGGCUGGUCUCAAACUCAUGACCUCGUGAUCCACCUGCCUCGGCCUCCCAAAGUGCUGGGAUUACAGGCGUG
rnacentral:lncRNA from 10 species